rfam:Myotis brandtii contig281706, whole genome shotgun sequence.
GGCAGUUCUCAGGUGACAUACCCCAGAAUCAGGCUCCCUCCUCUCUGGUUCUGGAUGCAUCACCCAAGAACCGCA